GACGAACGCUGGCGGCGUGCUUAACACAUGCAAGUCGUACGGUAAGGCCCUUUCGGGGGUACACGAGUGGCGAACGGGUGAGUAACACGUGAGUAACCUGCCCACAACUUUGGGAUAACGCUAGGAAACUGGUGCUAAUACUGGAUAUGUGCUCCUGCUGCAUGGUGGGGGUUGGAAAGCUCCGGCGGUUGUGGAUGGACUCGCGGCCUAUCAGCUUGUUGGUGGGGUAGUGGCCUACCAAGGCGGCGACGGGUAGCCGGCCUGAGAGGGUGACCGGCCACAUUGGGACUGAGAUACGGCCCAGACUCCUACGGGGGGCAGCAGUGGGGAAUAUUGCACAAUGGGCGCAAGCCUGAUGCAGCAACGCCGCGUGCGGGAUGACGGCCUUCGGGUUGUAAACCGCUUUCAGCAGGGACGAAGCUUUUUGUGACGGUACCUGCAGAAGAAGCACCGGCUAACUACGUG
rnacentral:rRNA from 1 species